UCAAAGCGUCAAACUCCCACGAAGGAAGGCAUAGGAGAAAGUGGUACGCUCUCUCUUGUUUAGGUGAUUUGUUUUAAGGUCCACUACCAUUAGGCUAAAUGGUGAACUAUGCGAGUUGGUGUACAUUCAUAUAGUUAGGAAAAGCGCGAAGGGAGAAAGAAGACAGAAGCAAACUCGAAAAUAUUUUAUAAGAGGAGCACGUAAUACGCGUGAACAGGAAUGUGUGCGCAUGCGCGCAAAAAGGACUAGAUUGUCAACGGUGCUAACGGAAGGUGAUAUUACACGAACAAUAUAACUGCAGAUGCUUUUACCAGGCCCCGGCACAUUUGUCCGCACUUUGCUGCAAAGUCACAGAAGCUUGUCUCACUCAAGAACGUGUUCUUCUUCGUCGUAGCUAUAGUUGUUCUCGCCGAUUUCACUUGUUCGUCGAUCCGCGUGCUUGAAGAAAGUAUUGGUUUAGCCGAAUCUUGGGGAGCAAAGCACAAAUUGCAACUUGGCGUUUCUUUCCAUGAAUUCCUUUGUUGUCAUAGGCGCUCAUUCACGCGUUGACCCGUUUGUCCGAUAUUUCCUGUGCCACAUAUAUGUCAUGGGAAUUCAGUACACAACAGGUCUGGAGACACGUAGUAAACCUUAUAACGUAUCAGACCUCGUCCUGUUUUAUUCGGUCGUCUCUGACCUUUUACUGGCGCUUUUCCCAACUAUAUGUGGCCUAUUGUAAACUGACGAGCUAUCGCGCGCGCGUAUGUUCUCGGUGUAGGCAACAUAUGACGCGCGCACCAAACGUCUCAAUGAGCUAGCUAGCACGAGGGAAGUAUUCAUGUCCACGUCGUAAGCGAACAACUUCGCACAAAUAAGAGCGUCGUGUCCUAUUCGACGUCAUACUAUCGUCGUUACCUUGAAGCUGCGAUUACCGGCAGACAACCACACUGGCUUUCCUCAAGCGAACACGUUGGUCCAUUUGCAUGGUAACGCUUUGCCGAUCCAAACAUACUGCUGCAUCGCCAGCUAUAUCUACGAAAUGCAUCGCAUAAUAUUGACACGUGAACUCGUUUAUCUUUUACGGGUGAGCGCUUUUACCGUCCACGAAAUGUUUUCAAAAUGUUUUCAAAACCUUUUUGAGAUUAUGCGCGGCCUGGUGAACAUAUCGGGCAACCGCCAAAAUUUGCUGCGAGUAAUUCUCAGAUUGAGCAGAAGCCGAGUGCUUGCCUUGAAGGCCUACUGCUAAGCGUUUUGUUCUGUUCUUCGCGAUAGCGGUAGAGUGUAUAUAUAUGCUGAUUGAGAGAACAAGAACACUCGGUUGUUAGAGCUGUGGUAUGUGUUAUUCUCUUCCUCUUGUUAACUGGCGUUGUUUCCUGCUCGUAAUAAUGAACCAAUCGGCCCAACGCGCCCGGUACUUGCAGAUCACGAACAGCAUCCGCGUUAUCAGCGUGACGCAGCAUUUUUGAGAGGAAUGUGGCGAGCUAGGAUUUCUGAAGAAAGGAAGCGCAACACAGGCCUCUUCUAUAAGGAAAAAAAGUUUCAAGCUGUGCUUAGUUGUCCCGGCAUGGAUCAAUGGGAAAGCAUCGCGAGCCCCGAGCAGUGCUUACACAUUAUGCCACAACGCAAGGUCGUGGGUUCGACUCCCACCAAAUGUCGUUC